rnacentral:lncRNA from 1 species
UGUACUUGGUUUUGAAGGGACUUAGUCAAGUAGUUGAACAUUAGGAAUGAUACAAAUAUCUAAAGGAGUCAUCUUAUUCAAGGAGCACAAAUAGGUGAGCUCAGCUUGAAAAGGAGAACAUCCUAAUAACUUUGUUGACACAUGGAGGGUAAUGGAAGGGGGAGCGUUAAGCAAACUGGGGAUUUCAAAGAUCAACUAAUAUCUGUCAAACUGUGCUUGUUACAUAUAACUUAAAUGUUUUCAGCCUUCACUGAAAUGUUAUAGGGAAGGAUUUUUUCUAAAGGAGUUUGGAGUGCAAUAGAACCAAUGGUCUUGAAGAAAGAAAGAAUGAAAGAGGAUUUAUAGUGAAUUAGUUUGAAUAUUGCAAGACCAAAGUAGAAUUAUACUUCAUGUCUUCAUCCCAACUUGAAAAUAACAAGAUGGCUAGUUGCACUAAAUUGACUUGCUAAAGUCCUUCCAUACAAUAAUUCCUUCAUUAGGUAUAGCUAAAA